rnacentral:rRNA from 1 species
UGGGGAAUAUUGGACAAUGGGGGCAACCCUGAUCCAGCGAUGCCGCGUGUGUGAAGAAGGCCUGAGGGUUGUAAAGCACUUUCAGUGGGGAGGAGGGUACGCAAGUUAAAAGCUAGAGGUACUGGACGUUACCCACAGAAGAAGCACCGGCAAACUCCGUGCCAGCAGCCGCGGUAAUACGGAGGGUGCGAGCGUUAAUCGGAAUUACUGGGCGUAAAGAGUGCGUAGGCGGCAUAAUAAGUUAUUUGUGAAAUAUUUGGGCUUAACCUAGGUGCUGCAAAUAAUACUGUUAAGCUAGAGUAUGGUAGAGGGUAGUGGAAUUUCCGGUGUAGCGGUGAAAUGCGUAGAGAUCGGGAGGAACACUGGUGGCGAAGGCGGCUACCUGGACCAAUACUGACGCUGAGGUACGAAAGCAUGGGGAGCAAACAGG